rnacentral:rRNA from 1 species
CCUACGGGAGGCAGCAGUGGGGAAUAUUGCACAAUGGGGGAAACCCUGAUGCAGCGACGCCGCGUGAGUGAAGAAGUAAUUCGGUAUGUAAAGCUCUAUCAGCAGGGAAGAAAAUGACGGUACCUGAGUAAGAAGCCCCGGCUAACUACGUGCCAGCAGCCGCGGUAAUACGUAGGGGGCAAGCGUUAUCCGGAUUUACUGGGUGUAAAGGGAGCGUAGACGGCAGGGCAAGUCUGGAGUGAAAGGCGGGGGCUCAACCCCCGGACUGCUCUGGAAACUGUACGGCUGGAGUGCAGGAGAGGUAAGUGGAAUUCCUGGUGUAGCGGUGAAAUGCGUAGAUAUUAGGAGGAACACCAGUGGCGAAGGCGGCUUACUGGACUGUAACUGACGUUGAGGCUCGAAAGCGUGGGGAGCAAACAGGAUUAGAUACCCUUGUAGUC